GAAAUACCCCCAUAUCCGCUUGACUCCCUUCUUUCCCUUUCUCAAACCCCCCAUCAGCUGCAGCAAGGCCACCGCCUGAGACCUCUCCCCUGAUUAACGGCGAGAAUUGAGAUCCCAACGGGUCCUUUCCUAUUUUUGCAGCCUCAUUAACUCGAGAAUCAUGUGAUCCCCAUCCUCUCCGGCAACUUCAUCAGAUGCUACCACUGCGUCAGCCUCCGUUCUUUCCAAGACUGCCUCUGGCCUCUCUAAAACUGCGUCAACUCCCACCGACAGACACAGCUCUUUUACAUGCCCAUAUUUCCCAUAGUUAAAGCAGACCGUCGGAAGAGAUUCGUAUUCAACCCGUUGAACUUCCCCAUCCACCAAGACCUUAGAGAUGAGUGGUCGGUCGAGGUUGACGAACACGGCCAAACAGGAAAAUCGCCCCCAGGUGCUAUUGUUAGUUUGAAAGUCCAAUUUUACAACUUUCCCGAUUAAACUCCCAAUAGCUUCAAUGAUUUGUCUUUUGUACAUAAAACCCAGGAGUCCCGGUAGACAAAUCCACGCCAACACCACACUAGGGUAAGGCUGUGCUGGAUUGAACGAUUUCGUCCAAGGUUAUACAGUGAGGUAUUGCCCAAAAAUUAUCCAAGGACCUUGAGUUAAGACUUUGUUAUAAUCCUUCAUGUCCUGAAAUUUAACAAAAAAAAAUAACCAUUAGUGAUGUCCAUUAGAUGAAAAGAUUUUGCAAGUUUCCAGAGAUUUAGUUUACGGUUGUAAAGCACGUUAUAACCAAUGUUGCGCUCUAGCAACUUAAGAAUAACCGUCGAUUCCAUUUCCUUAAACAAUAUAUCUUUGAUGCACUUCGAAAAAGCAAUUGCUAAAAUGCCAUUAACCAUUGACAUCCCCAUCUAGAAUUUCUAGAUCACCUUCAUUCCUCCCGAGAUUCCUUGCAAGAUUUCAAUCGGAGGUGGUCACUUUUCCCCCCAAAAGUUUGUCUUUAAAAGACACCAUCGGCUGUUGUUCAGAAUCAACAACCAUAUUAGUCUCUUCUUCAUCAACAACUUCCAUGAAACGUACUUUCUUGGUAUUCCGAUCACCAACAUCACACGGAUCGCAAGCCGAACCAUUACCAGAAUUUUGCAUCUUAUCUAUCGCGU
rnacentral:lncRNA from 1 species